GGGAAGUCAGGACCAGAUGAGAAGCCAGGCUGCUCUGCCCCCGGAGCUCUGCCGAGGCCCGGCCGAGGGGACGAUUCCCAGCCAGGGAGCAGGCAGCGGCAGGGACCCCAGACCCAGGCGCGGCAGGAAGGCCAGGAAUUCACAGCCCCUGGAGGAGCCUCAGGGCCUGGAGACCUUCUCCAGGGAAUUGCUCACUCUUCCUCGUGACCCCUUGUGAUAGACCCUUGAUGCUGCAAAGAACGCGGAGCCCAGAGCCCCCCAACCCCCGCACUGAGAAGCUGGAACAAACGGAGCCUUUAUCCAAACAGCCCAGGUGGCUGGGCCCUUAUCACCCCUGAGGCUGAGGUCUCCGCUCGGGCCUCGGGAGGGGGCAGGGAGAUGCAGAGCAAGGCUGGACUCACCCGAUGUUUCUGGACAGCGGUGGCCUGGGCACGAGGGUGGUGCCGCCUGUGCAGGCUGCUGGGAGGAUGAAGCAUGGGCUGGGCUGUGGUCACGCGGGGCCAGAGAAGUCAGCUGCGAGGUGCUGUGUAAGGACCAUGUCCCUGGCAUACACACCCAGCCCGCCCCUUGGCAGAUCCAGGCUGGCUCAGCCGGGAGGCCAGCGCCCAGCGCCGCUCCGUCUGGGUCUGCUCCACGUGCUUCUCGUGCGAGGUGGUUCAGCAGCCUGGCUGGGCCACAUUUCCUAGGAUGAUGGCAGAGGCACAGGAGGGAGAGCAGGCCAACCUGCUGCCCCUUAGAGCCCAGGCCAGACCCCACCGUUGGUGCCGGUCACGUGGCCAAGCCCCAUCCAGGGUCCCAGGCGCAUGUUCCCGCUUCAGUCAGAAAAACAGUCUCGUGGCAAAGGGCUUGGAUGCGGGACAGGGUGAAGAAUUGUGGCCAAGGACGCCAUCUGCCACCCCAGUCUAAGAAACUUGGACUUGGUCCCAGGACGAUAAGGAGCCGUCAGCAGGUGACACAUAAAAGGGCUGCGGGGGGUGGGGGGAGCGGGCAGUGAUGCGACGGCUGAUACGGUUCAUCAUCCAGGGGCCAGAUGACGGUGGCCUGACUCAGGCCAGGCCAGGGGGAGGGGAGAGAUGACAGAGAGACAUUUAGAAAGAGAACGUCUGGCCCCAGAGACCCUGGGCACCAAGACGGACGCCAGCUGGCGCCUAAGGGUGCAGCCCGGCUUCCAGCUGUGAAAGGUGGGGCAUGGAGAGCGGGAGACACAGGCACCAACAGCGGUAAGAGUGGGGGGGUUAGACGAAUCUACUAUGUCACCCCAACCUUGGAGGCUGGAUCUGUGAUCAAGACCGUGUGGGAGUGGCUCUCCAGAGCCCCCCUGCCCCAAGGGCACGGGGACAGUGACACCCCUCACGGACCUACAUCAUCAGCACCCCGAGAUCCCGCAGACACCUGGACCCGGCUGGCUGUGGGAGGGGUGGCUAUUGCCCCUCCUUGGCCCAGGCGCCCGGCCCUUUAGGGAAGGGAUGCAUCCAUGGGCUCCGAGCCUGUGCCCCUGCCUGGAGGCUGGGACAGCCUCCCAUAACAUGGCCCAGGCCUCUGCUCAUCUCAGCUGGUUGCCACGGCAACCCCAGCUGCGGGGUCCAGGCCUGUGCCUCUGCGUGGGAGGCCCAGGUGGGGCGGGCAGGACAUGCCACUGACAUCCUGACACCUGCCACUCUCCGGGUCCACUGUGAACACCUGCUCCUCUGCGGCACCCUCUGUCCCCCACCGCCCUGUCUGCCCUGCGUCCCUCACUCACACAGGUCACCUGAGCCGGACACCCUGGGGACCUCUGAAGCUGCUCCCCCAGCCCACACCCCUGUAAACAGACUCACACUCCUGGCACAGAGGGGGCCACGUGCCCCCAGGCCCCACCCUGAAGCGGGGAGUGCCCCACUGGUCCGCUGUCUGCAUGGGCCAUGGGACAUCUGGAUGACAUUGUCCUUUGUCCCUGACCACUGCAGCGAAGCCUCCAGGGCCCCUCCCCCCAGAGCCCAGGGUGCUCCCCGUGAGCCCUGCUCAGCCUCCCAACCACACAGGCCCUGAGCUGGGAAGGUGCUGGGUCACCUCAGCAGGAGGACCUCCCCGCCUUGAAGGGAGGGUACACAGGAGGAAUUCCACCCCCCCAAAGCCUCCCCCACACCCACCUUUCCAGCCCCUCCCAGGGACCCCCUCCAGGGACCCCCCCCCCCAGAAAGGAAGACUCUCCCGCUCCUAUCUUGUUCCCACAGUCUGAGCGCUUCAGGGUCUGGCUGAGCUGGAGCCCCGGGUGUCCCCUGCCCUGGACCCCUCAGCACCGCCCCCACAGGGUCUAGGACACUCCCCAGCCCUGGGCCCCCUGUCUCAGCAUUGGGGUACACAAGUGUGCAUUGGCAGCUGAGAGCGGGCCUGUGAGCCAGAAGGCCCCUCCCUCCCUGCUCAGCUUGGCGCCCCCCGCCGGAGGCAGGGUCAGAAAACUGGGGUGCCCGGCCACCCCCCAGCUUCCACCAGGGGCCCUCACUGUGUGGGGACCAUAGGACAAGACCCUCCCUGCACUGAUGGAUUGGAGGGGUGUCAGGCCAAGUCCUAGGGGGAGCCACCAGCCACUGUUGACCAGGGGCUUCUUAGACCCCGGAAGCCCCCAGAUCCACCCCCUCCCUCGAGAAGAAAGGAGUGGAAAGAGAGGAGGGAGAUGAAGGCAGAGGGGGUGACAUGCCUCCCUGGGCAGAUCUAGUGGCACAGAGCUGACAUGGGUGGCACCCCUCUUCCGACUGCUCCCUCCUGUCUCUCUCUCUCUCAUACACACACACACACACACACACACACACACACACACACACACACACACACACACACGGCAGGGGACAUCACACUGAGUGCUGGGCCCCCUCUGCCAGGACUGCCUCACAGAGACGGGGAACAGUGCCCUUGGCCCCUGGCAGGGACAGGGCCACCCUGGCACCUCACAGAUGGAGGCGGCUCCUCUGUGUCCAGCAAGGUCAGAUGGCCUCUGCCACGGCCUCCCCACCCAGGGAGCGUCUCGCCAUCUGCACACACUCGGCUGCCAACUCUGCAGCCCUGGCUGGCGCUGGGCCUGCCCCAGCCCGGCCACACUGGCCUGUUUGCCCCAGCAGCCACCUUCUCCAGCGAGGGCUUGCUCCCUCCUGGGGCAAGGCCUACAGCCCUCCAUGGCUCCCCAGGUGACCAAGCCAGGGUCCCUGCAGGCCUGCAGAGUCUCUUCUGCUGGGCCUGGCCUGGCCUGGCUCUGCGCUCCCCCCCCCUACACCCCACAGCUUGUGUCCAGGCUCUGGAGAUACCCCGCGGUCCCCUUGCCUCUGGCCCGGCCACCUGCUGCCUGGCCCUUCUCUCAAGGUCUUGGAGACGAGAAAGAGGUUUGCAGCUCAGCACCCCAUCCCGACUCCACCACCACCCCCGCCCUGCCAACAAGGACAAGCCAGCCCACGUCGGCUCUCACCCAUGCAACGCACUCUACUCACGUGUGGGAUUCCUCCGCCCACAAGCACCUUCCAAGUACAGGAACUACAGCCAAGAGCAAAAGGCAGAAGCACCCGCACCGCCGGCGUCCCAGGAGCCGAGGGCCCAGCAGAGAUGAGACGGGAGAUGCCGCCUUUAAGGAGCCCCGAACCAAUGUGACCAGCGUCCUUAAAGGAAAGGAGACUAGGAGCCGGACACACACAGCAGGAAGCACGCGAGGCACCGAAGGCGGCCGUCUGCGCGCCAGGGAGGAGAGAGGAACCGACCUGCCCGCACCCUGAUCGCCGACAUCCAGCCCCCAGGGCCGUGAGAAAUGAGCAUCUGUGGGGCGUGCCACGGCGGCCCCGGCAGACCGCCGCUCUGUAGGGCAGCACCCGAGGGUCUGGUGGGCGCAGGCGUGGUGGUUGCCAUAGUUACUGAGCGCCCAGCGACGCCCAGCACGUCCCGCUUGGGCUCUGGGUAAAGUCUGCCGUCAGCGCAGUCACGGAGGCCCAGGCUGGCCAGCAGUGAGGGGCUGGCGAGCCGGGGGCCCCUGACUCCUGGGCACCGCCAUCCCCUCCUGGGGAACAGGGGAGCACCCAGCAGGGGGCGAUAAACAGGAGGCCCAGGACCUGCCACUUUACUCUGCAGAGCCCGGAUCCCAGACGCUGGCCGGCCCAGGAGCCCCCCACCCGAAUCUCCAAGUGCCCGGGAUGCCCGCCCUGUAGUGCCCUCCCAGCCCCCAACCUCACUGAAGGAGAGGGUGGGAAGCGGGCCUUCCCCGGCUGGGCCGUGACUGGCGACCGAUAAAGCUCUGCCCGCCCCCCACCCCCGCCAGAGCUCAGGGCCCGUGGGCGCCCGGAAUAUGAAUUCGCCGGUAGAGCUUCCUCCUGAGACGGUCAAGGGCUGUGUCCGAGCCAGACCCCGGAUGCGGCUUCGGGUGCAGCUUGCCAAGGUCUUGGGCAUGGCUGGAGCCUCCCCUGGGCUCCAGCUUGGCCUCUUGCGUGAUUUUACGGUUUACAUUUUGUAGAUGAGCAGACUGGGCCCCAAAAGGUGAGCAGCUUGCCUGGGGUCCCGCCUCCGAAGGGAUGGAGAGGAAUUUGAAUGCGGGGUCCUUGAUCUGCCAGCACCCCUCUUACCCACAGGUGCCCCACACGCCCCACGGGCUCCUUCUCCAAGGCUUUCCCUCUACUUGGAGUGCAGACAGGUCACCUCCUCCAGGAAGGCUUCCCGACUCCCCUCCCCCACGAGCCUGCUGGUGCACAGGCCCCCUCUCCAUGGCAGACACCCUGUCACUAGCUGACUCAACACAUUCUGGGCAGAACCGUGUCCCUCUCCGGGUUGUCUCUCUGUCCCCUGGGGCACGGCAGGGCUGGCACCUUGCUGCCCGGCCUGCUAGAUUUGUUUGUCUGAACAAUUUCCACCCUUGGGCAGUUAUGAGUAAGCUUGCGGUACCUUCAGCCAAGCUCUUUUCACUAGCUCUGUGUUUGUUUGGGCUGUUUUUGCCCUUUUAAAGUAAAAAUAGUUUAUUUUUAACA
rnacentral:lncRNA from 1 species